CCUACGGGUGGCAGCAGUGAGGAAUAUUGGUCAAUGGACGAGAGUCUGAACCAGCCAAGUAGCGUGAAGGAUGACUGCCCUAUGGGUUGUAAACUUCUUUUAUAUGGGAAUAAAAUGUUCCACGUGUGGGAUUUUGUAUGUACCCUAUGAAUAAGGAUCGGCUAACUCCGUGCCAGCAGCCGCGGUAAUACGGAGGAUCCGAGCGUUAUCCGGAUUUAUUGGGUUUAAAGGGUGCGUAGGUGGAUUGUUAAGUCAGUGGUGAAAGUUUGCGGCUCAACCGUAAAAUUGCCGUUGAAACUGGCAGACUUGAGUACAGUAGAGGUGGGCGGAAUUCGUGGUGUAGCGGUGAAAUGCUUAGAUAUCACGAAGAACUCCGAUUGCGAAGGCAGUUCACUGGACUGCAACUGACACUGAGGCUCGAAAGUGUGGGUAUCAAACAGGAUUAGAUACCCCAGUAGUC
rnacentral:rRNA from 1 species